UACAGAGGGGGCAAGCGUUGUUCGGAAUUACUGGGCGUAAAGGGCGCGUAGGCGGCCUGCUAAGUCGAACGUGAAAGCCCGGGGCUCAACCCCGGAACUGCCUUUAAGACUGCAUCGCUUGAAUCCGGGAGAGGUGAGUGGAAUUCCGAGUGUAGAGGUGAAAUUCGUAGAUAUUCGGAAGAACACCAGUGGCGAAGGCGGGUUGCUGGGCUGACACUGACGCUGAGGCGCGAAAGCCAGGGGAGCGAACGGG
rnacentral:rRNA from 1 species